AUACAUAUAAAAACGAGAGAAGAUUAGUACUCUCCUUGAUAAGGACGGAAGAGACCUUCAUGGCCAUUAUGAUAUGUAUUGAGGCACAUCCUCUUUUUUCGAGGACACCUCAUAUUUUUUU